AGUGAACGCUGGCGGUAGGCCUAACACAUGCAAGUCGAACGGCAGCACAGUAAUUUCUUGCUCUUACGUUUGUCGAGUGUCGUACGUUUGCUGUAUACAUCGGCAUCUACUUUUUCGUGUGUUUUCACGUAGGGUAACUUACUCUACUACCGCAUACUUCCUACGUUUUUAAUCAGUGUUUCUUCUGACCUUUCGCUUUUUAUUGAUCCGAUGUCGGAUUAGCUAGUUGGCGGGGUAAAGGCCCACCAAGUCGACGAUCCGUAGCUGGUCUGAGAGGAUGAACAGACAAAGUGGAACGGAGACACGGAACAGACACCGACGGGAGGCAGCAGUGGGGAAUAUUGGACAAUGGGCGAAAGCAUGAUACAGCAAUACCGAGUGGGUGAAGAAGGACUUCGGGUUGUAAAGAACUUUUGUUGGGAAAGAAAAGCAGCAGGUUAAUACACAGAUGUUAUGACGGUAACAAAAGAAUAAGCACCGGCUAACUUCGUG
rnacentral:rRNA from 1 species